rnacentral:rRNA from 1 species
UACAGAGGUCUCAAGCGUUGUUCGGAUUCAUUGGGUGUAAGGGUGCGUAGGUGGCGGGGUAAGUCAGGUGUGAAAUCUCGAGGCUCAACCUCGAAACUGCACUUGAUACUGCCUUGCUCGAGUACUGGAGAGGAGAUUGGAAUUUACGGUGUAGCAGUGAAAUGCGUAGAGAUCGUAAGGAAGACCAGUGGCGAAGGCGGGUCUCUGGACAGUUCCUGACGCUGAGGCGCGAAGGCCAGGGGAGCAAACGGG